rnacentral:rRNA from 1 species
GACACAGGUGGGUGAGGAGAGUAUCCUAAGGCCCGCGAGAGAACUGUUGUUAAGGAACUCGGCAAAAUGACCCCGUAACUUAGGGAUAAGGGGUGCCACCAUCCGGUGGCCGCAGAGAAUAGGCCCAGGCGACUGUUUACCAAAAACAUAGGUUUCUGCUAAGUCGCAAGACGAUGUAUAGGAGCUGACGCCUGCCCGGUGCUGGA